GGCCACUGAGGCCUCCCCGUUCGCCUCCCAGAGGCCGCCACUUUCUUCAGGGCUAUCAGAUGAAGGCAGCAACGAAAACACCACCACAAGACCAACUUCAGGCUGGAGCUGAUGAUGCCACACAGAAAAUAGACUCUACUUAGAAAUGAAACUCAACUAAAGGUAAAAGUUGUCAGGAACAUCUCCAAGAAAGCCAGAGUCAGCCUCUAAACUUUGCAUCAAGAACGCAAUGGCUUCCCUGAGGGCCCAGGGACGCGUGGCAGCUGUGAGGCAGCCCCUUCUCUGCUGUCGAGGAACUGGACACUUCUCCUGUCCCUUCCCACAAGGUAUAAUAUUAGGCAGAAACCCAAUAUAAAAAGAAAAGCAGAGUUGUUGUAGAUUCAUCGAGGGUUGGCGACCUGGUUCCAAUGAGCCAUCUCCCUGUUCCGACAGGGGCUUCCUGGAGCUCCUGCAACCCCAGGCAUUAGUUCCGGUGCAGUUCUAGGAUCAGAUCAAUUCACUCGACAACAAGAGAAACAAAUGGAGAUUCCUACACAAAGACUUUCAAGCACAAAGAAAUCCUGCUGCCUGUAAAGCGGAGCUGCCUCAGCCCUUGAUGAACGACAGAAAAUACCACCUACUGCCAGACCUCAACGCCUCACAAAACUCUCACCCACCUACUGCUUUUAGCUCACAUUCCAGGAAUUCAGAUGAAGUGAAGUGCUCUCAUGGGGACCAGGCAUGGUUAUGCCAGUCCACUGCCCUGCAAGCCUCAAGGGAAGCCAACUGCCCUUCAGCAAGUCACACCUGCCUUGGUGGAGGCCUUGAUUGGAAGUGCCACACGCUACAUGUCCAGUCCUGAGCGGGAGAAUCGGUGUAGGGACGUUCUGGGGAUGCCAGCUGUGGCCAGAUCAGGUCCAACUACAGAAGAAUAAUGAAGACUCCACCUGAGGGCUGGAAAAACAAAACCUCAAGUGUGAGGCAGCCAACCUGUUACCUCGAGGGACUGUUCCGCAGCACAGCGGGGCCAUGGGAACAGCAGCAGACACCCCGACCUCCUCGCUACCUAUCAACUAUGGCCUGAGUAUGAUAGACUUAUCCAUGGUUUAAACAGAAUAUAUUGUUUUCAACUUUGAAAAUAAGAAUAUGGAAAUCCAGAUGCAGAAAUGUGAGAAGAAAAGAGAGUAAACAGAGUGGAAGGUCAGGUGACCUUGCCUGUCAUGAAUAUGAAGGUCAAGGUGUGUGAAUUGUGAAAUUUCCAAGAGAACCUCACUGAAGCAAAGAAUGAAGAAAGAAUUGCAUUUGGCCCUGGGAGGGUGCAGGGGUGAAUGGUGCAGGAGCUAAAUCUUUAUCAUACCCAGAAAUCAACAGCCACUAUUUGAAAUCAUCUAAAUUCGUGCUGCUAACCUUCAGUGUACACACGAAUCACCUGGGGAUCUUACUAAAAGCUAGUUUCUGAUUCACUAAA
rnacentral:lncRNA from 1 species